rnacentral:rRNA from 1 species
AGGCCUUCUUCACACACGCGGCAUCGCUGGAUCAGGGUUUCCCCCAUUGUCCAAAAUUCCCCACUGCUGCCUCCCGUAGGAGUCUGGGCCGUGUCUCAGUCCCAGUGUGGCUGAUCGUCCUCUCAGACCAGCUAUAGAUCGUUGCCUUGGUGAGCCAUUACCUCACCAACAAGCUAAUCCAACGUAGGCUCAUCUCAAAGUGCUAGGCCUUACGGUCCCCAGCUUUGAUCCUUAGAUAUUAUGCGGWAUUAGCCACGCUUUCGCGUGGUUGUCCCCCACUUCAAGGCAGAUUCCUACGUAUUACUCACCCGUCCGCCACUCGCCGUCAUCUCACCCGAAAGUGAGACACGCUGCCKUUCGACUUGCAUGUGUUAGGCGUGCCGCUAGCGUUCAAUCUGAGCCAGGAUCAAASUCUAAUCA